UACGUAGGGGGCGAGCGUUGUCCGGAAUUAUUGGGCGUAAAGAGCGUGUAGGCUGUUCGGUAAGUCUGCCGUGAAAACCUGAGGCUCAACCUCGGGCGUGCGGUGGAUACUGCCGGGCUAGAGGACGGUAGAGGCGAGUGGAAUUCCAGGUGUAGCGGUGAAAUGCGUAGAUAUCUGGAGGAACACCGGUGGCGAAGGCGGCGUUCUGGACUGCAACUGACACUGAAAAACGAAAGCCAGGGGAGCAAACGGG
rnacentral:rRNA from 1 species